rnacentral:rRNA from 1 species
CAAAUUACCCAAUCCCGACACGGGGAGGUAGUGACAAUAAAUACUGAUACAGGGCUCUUUUGGGUCUUGUAAUUGGAAUGAGUACAAUUUAAAUCCCUUAACGAGGAACAAUUGGAGGGCAAGUCUGGUGCCAGCAGCCGCGGUAAUUCCAGCUCCAAUAGCGUAUAUUAAAGUUGUUGCAGUUAAAAAGCUCGUAGUUGAACCUUGGGCCUGGCUGGCCGGUCCGCCUCACCGCGUGUACUGGUCCGGCCGGGCCUUUCCUUCUGGGGAACCUCAUGCCCUUCACUGGGCGUGUUGGGGAACCAGGACUUUUACUUUGAAAAAAUUAGAGUGUUCAAAGCAGGCCUUUGCUCGAAUACAUUAGCAUGGAAUAAUAGAAUAGGACGUGUGGUUCUAUUUUGUUGGUUUCUAGGACCGCCGUAAUGAUUAAUAGGGAUAGUCGGGGGCAUCAGUAUUCAAUCGUCAGAGGUGAAAUUCUUGGAUUGAUUGAAGACUAACUACUGCGAAAGCAUUUGCCAAGGAUGUUUUCAUUAAUCAGUGAACCGAAAGUUAGGGGAUCGAAGACGAUCAGAUACCGUCGUAGUCUUAACCAUAAACUAUGCCGACUAGGGAUCGGACGGUGUUAGUAUUUUGACCCGUUCGGCACCUUACGAGAAAUCAAAGUUUUUGGGUUCUGGGGGGAGUAUGGUCGCAAGGCUGAAACUUAAAGGAAUUGACGGAAGGGCACCACCAGGCGUGGAGCCUG